AUGAUAUUCAAAAUGAAGCAAAGGAGCUUUCAAGGAUAAGAGAUUACCUCUUCAACUAACAAGCCAAAAAUACAGGACAGCCUGCGGAAAAGGAUCUUCAAAGAUUUGAGCAGAUUGAAAAGGUUCAACUCAGAAGAAGCUAUAGAGUACGGACCUAUCAUUGUUAGACCACCGCGCAUCAAAGACGACGCUCCUCUCCAGGAUGAAACCUGAGGUCUCGGUUAAUCUGCUUUAUUAACAUUCUGUAAUGUCAAAGUCUUACAAGCUUGGAGUUGUUGUUCUUUGUGCGAUUGUUACCAAAUAAAAUCAUUUAUGUAUAUAGAGUUAUUUAAUUAUCAUUGGAUCUUGAAACCAGU